rnacentral:misc_RNA from 1 species
UCGAAUCCUGGAAAGCAUGACCGCGGAUGAGUUUACAAUCGGGGAAACGUCGAUGGGCCUUCGGGAUCCAAAGAUGCCAACUCGCUCGGCUGGCAAGUAGUAGUGAUAUUUUCUUGCCUUCCGAAUUUAACAAACCCCGGCGCACUCAGCGCCAAGGAAUCGAAAUGAAAAGAUCUUGAUCCUCUUUCCUGUUGAUCGGGAUGUGAGGGACUCGUCUGUUUAGAAAAUAUCAUAACGACUCUCGGCAACGGAUAUCUCGGCUCUUGCAUCGAUGAAGAACGUAGCAAAAUGCGAUACUUGGUGUGAAUUGCAGAAUCCCGUGAAUCAUCGAGUCUUUGAACGCAAGUUGCGCCUGAAGCCUUUAGGUUGAGGGCACGUCUGCCUGGGCGUCAUGCAUUGCGAUGCCCCGAUUUCAUCAAUGACGGGCGAAUCUUGGCCUCCCGUAAGCUCAACUUGCGGUUGGCCUAAAAACGAGCUUGUGGACGAGAAAGUGUCUUGGCAGGUGGUGGUUGAAUGGGCCCUUGGCCUUAAAAACUUAGCAUGUUGAGACCUUUCCCUCUAUUGCUGGAAUAGGCUUUUUAUUGGAGUGCCAUAGCCGCGCUUUAGCAUUG